CUAGCAGUUUGAAAGCACACUAGUGCAAGUAGAUACAUAGGUGCCGUUGCAGCAGGAAGGUAAACAGUGUUUCCAUGUGCUCUGGCUUCCGUCACGGUCUCCUGUUGUACCAGAAGAUGUUUCGUCAUGCUGGCCACAUGACCUAUCUGUGGACAAAUGCCGGCUCCCAUGGCCUGAAAGCAAGAUGAGCGCUGUACCCCAUAGUUGCCUUUGACUGGACUUAACCAUCCAGGGGUCCUUUACCCCCCUUUUUUAAACUCAUCUAGCCUUUGGAUCAAGGGGCAAUUAACUGCUUCAAGGCUCAUUACACCAGACUCACCUUUGCCUUGCAGAUACAUCUCAACCUUCUGGCAUUCUGGAACCAUGCUGGCCUGAUUGCAGGUUGGAUUGGGCCCUGCUUCCUUCAGAACAGUAGAUUUUCCUACAGGAUUACAUUUCUUUAGAGCCAGUCGCAACAAUUAUCCUUCUGUACUUUGGUCAUCAGAACCUCAUUUGCGUAAACAGGGUAUACAGUUCAGUGUGGACAGUAGGUGAGGUUGACAACUGAGUAAGAGGCUAUGUAUUGCGCUUCCUCACUCCAAACGGAUUUUCUAUAAAUGUACUACAAAUUUUCAUUUUCCUAAUUUCACCAUCUUGAGGCAGUAUUCAUGGAACCAGCCUUCUUUGAUCCAAUCUCACAACUUCAAAAAAGCCAGUCCAUUGUUUAAUAGCUGUGCAAUAUGGAUAUUUAACAAGCUGGGUCCUGAUUAUUCCCUGCUGAGGUUUCUUUUUAGCUUGUUUUUCUUCUUCAAGUUGCCAAACCACCAUUACUACUAGCAGAGACCUCUGAGAUGGAGUGCCUUUUGCUUUUUGAAAGUACGUAAGCAGUAGCAAAGCUAUUCGGCUGGAGAGGCAUAUAUUGGCUCUGCUUUCUAUAGUUUUAGAUUUAUGAACAGGACUCAGCCAUGUAGAAUACUGGAAAUCACAAACAAGCAGCUGCUUUUCCAGCACAUUGAAGUGUGUUUGCAUGUGACUGGCAUACAUAUUUCAAACUCCAGUUUGCCUGUGGCAUCCUGCCGUGAAAAUGAAAGUUGUGUUGCCACUGAAAGGCGCUGCUUCAAAAAUGGGUGUAUUGUGAGGACUGUUAUGCAGUAUAUGAGAAGCAGGGAGCUGCUUCCCAGCAUUUAUAGAAUGUUUUUGAUUGGCUCUUCUUUUAUGACAUUAUGUUUUCAACUACAAUGCCCAAAGCAAGCUUAAGAUGAGAUCCUUAUUACUCAUUGUUCCAAGAAGAGUCAGAGAACGUGUUCUGCUGACUGAUUCCCAAAAUGGAGAUUUUCUCGCUUUUAAAAGGAGGAUAUUCUUUUUAAUUAAAUUUGGCAGAAAUAUAACAUGGCAGAUGUAGCUUUUGUUUGAGGAUUUUUUCCACCUCUCAUAUCAUAAUCUUUGUUGUUUCUGCCAACACCCCUUUAUCAGGCUCUCCAUAGGGUAUGAAGUC